rnacentral:rRNA from 1 species
AGUGAACGCUGGCGGCGUGCUUAACACAUGCAAGUCGAACGAUGAAGUCCUUCGGGAUGGAUUAGUGGCGCACGGGUGAGUAAUAUAUAGAUAACGUGCCUCUUAGUCUGGGAUAGCCAUUGGAAACGAUGAUUAAUACCGGAUACUCCUUCUAGCUCUAAUGCUAGUCGGGUAAAGUUUUUCGCUAAGAGAUCGGUCUAUAUUCCAUCAGUUAGUUGGUGAGGUAAUGGCUCACCAAGGCAAUGACGGAUAGCGGGUUUGAGAGGAUGAUCCGCCACACUGGUACUGAGACACGGACCAGACUCCUACGGGAGGCAGCAGUGAGGAAUAUUGCACAAUGGGGAAACCCUGAUGCAGCAACGCCGCGUGGAGGAUGACGCAUUUCGGUGUGUAAACUCCUUUUAUAUGUCAAGAAAAUGACGGUAGCAUAUGAAUAAGCACCGGCUAACUCCGUGCCAGCAGCCGCGGUAAA